rnacentral:lncRNA from 1 species
UAUUCACUGAAAGGUUAAAACUUUUCAGUUUUGAUAACAACCGCCAUUAUUAGCCAUAAGAGGAGAGUAAUUUGGCUGGGUAGUGGGGUUGUUACAAUGGCUUCAAUGGUGGAGUAAAUUCGUGACUUUUCAUGUGAAGGUUGAAAAUCCUAUAAAUAUCAACAUUUCCUACAAGUUCAUAACACACAAAAAUGUGAGAGUUCAUCAGUGAGAAAAAACAAAGGGUUUCUGGCAUUCUGCAUUAAAAUCAUUUGUGAGAGAAUAAUACUGCUUUCUGGUUCGCUGAGCACACAUAAAUUGUGCUAAUUUUUGUGAGCGUGAGCGAUGCAUCCUAGGAGACAGACGCCAAUCAACCGUAAACACCAGUGACAGAGCGAAUUAUAUCUUAAGGAGACAAUGUUGAACGCUGGUCUCGAUCCACUUCUAUUAAUUUUAUGUUUAUUGUUUUCAAUACAAUUUCUGUUUAGUUUGUAAUUUAUUUUUCACUUCUAAAUUCAGCAGAUUUAUUGAAUUUUAUAUCAACAAAGGUUUAUUUCAUAAAUUGUUUUGAUACCAUCCCAUAAUGGUUGUGGCUCUGGUGCUUUUUGUUGUAUCCAUCUUCCAAUUCUUUUCUGGUUAUGAUGUUGAGAAAUCGAGAUCAGUUCGUGUUCCCUGUAUCUCCUCGGCAAGAACCUGCGUCAUGCAUUACUGUCUUCUCUGACAGGCCUCAAUCCAGAAAGAUGCAAAACGAUAGCUAUUGUGUUUAUGGUUCAGAUAUUGCAACCGACUUGGGCGUGGGGUCGCUGCUGGUCCUCACGGCCAGUCAACUUAUUGUAAUGGCAGCAAGUCGAUGCUUGUGCUGUGGGAAAGUUUUGAGACCCAGUAGUUUAAGGGCACAGGCAAUUGCCCCAUUCCUUUCCUGCCGGUAUGUGUUCAUGCCGUCAUGACUUGCCUUUAGGACUUAACUCUGUAGAUUUUUUUGUAGAUUUGACCUGACUUAAUUUCUUUUAUUUUGGGAUGUGUUUGGAACUUAUGAAAGGCAAGAAAAGAAGAUAAAUAAUAGGAAAGGGAAAGAGAAAUUCAGGAAAUGUAAUAAUUUUUCUUUUGUUUGGUUACGCAAAAGAGGAAAGAAAACAAUAGCCUAACUUAACAGAGAAAAUGAGGAAAGGAAAGAUGAAAGGAAAAGAAAGUGAGAAGGAAAAUAAUUUCUCAAUUGUUUUUCCUUGAGUUUUUCCCAAAUUAGGAGCCUAACAGAGAAAGGAAGGAAAGACAUGUGAGAUAAGAAUAUAGGAGGGACUUUUUUUUUCUUUGUAUUGUGACUGGUAAUAUACUUGAUCAUCUAUUCUUUAAUCCAACCAGGAGAGGGAAACUAGUUUCUCUUCAAUUUUUAUCAUUUCUCACUACCCACUAGCUAAACCCACCCACUCAAACCAAACAGUCUGUCAAUUUCUUGAAUAUUUCAGGGUGCCAUUUGUUAUUGCUGAAGUUUGUUUGCUCGCGGGUUCGGUGAGGAAUGUCUACCACACCAAGUACAGAACCGCAUUGUCGAACCCUCCUUGUGACUUGUGAGACCUUGAGAAAGGAAGUCCGUCCUUGGGGGCAGGGCUGCCUUCAUUGUUUUCACCGGCAUUUUCUUCGAGCUUUAUUAUGUCUACUUCUUGAAGGCCAAUGAUGGGUUCCAACCUGAUAAAGACACUGGCAUAGGGAUGGGAACCUAGAAGUGAACUCUGAUAGAGAGAGGUGAAGUGUUCUUUAUAUCUGUUUUAUAGAUGUUUUCGCUUUUUAACCUUCCUGAUCGAUGAUUAUUGUAAACUAGUAUGAGAGACUACAUGAUACAGGUUGAAGUUCUUCUACUUCUAGAUUGGUUUUAAUUUUAGUGCAUAUAUAUAUUCUUGACAUCUAUUCUUGUCUUUUAGUUUAUGAAAGCUUGCCUUAAACAUUUAAGGUAAUGUCAGCUCAAGAAUAAUGCUAUAUAUCACACCAUUAGAGUUGGAAUUGGAAUUUCAAAUCACAAUAUCGGUAUCGGUGAUAUUGUCUUGUAUCAGCCGAUAUUAAACAAUAUUGGCCGACAUAUUUAUUAACGUGUGACAUCAGAGGCAGCCAAAUCCCGAUAGGAAAGUGUCGGGAUUUGGGUUAAAAGUUGAAAAAAACAAUUUUGAAGGCCAAAGUAUAAAUUGGUCAAUACUUGGAAAGAGAAAAAGAGUAAUUAAGCCUCUUAUUAUCUCACACAACACACAACGGAAGAGAGUUGUGUCAUGUACCUCUUCCUUCCACUCGUGGAAUGAAGAGGAUUUAAGUCCCUCCCACAGUUUUAUCCUUCAAACUGACUCAUCCAUGAGUCCAACCCAGAAUGCAACUAAUUCAACUUUCAUAAAUUGGAACAAAAAAUCAACUCAGUAUUGGAUUUUCCAUAUGGGUGUCGUGAACACAAAACCCUUUUUCGGGGUAAAAUACAAAAAUGGUACCUAAAGUAUGUGGUUAGUGUCACUUUUAUCCUCUAAAUUUAAAAUUUAUCAAAUUU